rnacentral:rRNA from 1 species
CCUACGGGUGGCAGCAGUGAGGAAUCUUGGUCAAUGGGCGCGAGCCUGAACCAGCCAAGUAGCGUGAAGGAUGACUGCCCUACGGGUUGUAAACUUCUUUUAUAAAGGAAUAAAGUGAGGCACGUGUGCCUUUUUGUAUGUACUUUAUGAAUAAGGAUCGGCUAACUCCGUUCCAGCAGCCGCGGUAAUACGGAGGAUCCGUGCGUUAUCCGGAUUGAUUGGGUUUAAAGGGUGCGUAGGCGGCCUUUUAAGUCAGCGGUGAAAGGCUGUGGCUCAACCAUAGAAGUGCCGUUGAAACUGGGAGGCUAGAGUAUGUUGGGGGCAGGCGGAAUGCGUGGUGUAGCAGUGAAAUGCUUAGAUAUCACGCAGAACCCUGGUGGCGAAGGCAGCCUGCCAAGCCAUGACUGACGCUGAUGCACGAAAGCGUGGGGAGCAAAAAGGAUUAGAUACCCGGGUAGUC